rnacentral:rRNA from 1 species
UUGAAAGGGAAACGAUUGAAGUCAGUCGUACCGACGAGAAAUCAGCUUAUCGCGUGUUAACUUGUGGGCGUGCGUGAGUUUCGGCCUCGCUGUUUGCAUGUUUGUGCGCUUUGGGUGUACUUUUUCGUAUGGUAGGCCAACAUCAGUUUCGAUUACUAUAAAAUGACUGGCGGAAUGUAGCUUCGAUUUCGGUUGAAGUGUUAUAGCCUCUGGUAGAUGUGGUGAUAGAGACUGAGGAUUGCAACGAAUAUCCUUUGGGCUAUCCGUCUGGCCUCUGAAAGUUGCUUGGGUGCUGAAAGCUCGCUUAUGGUUAUCUAAGUUAACGGUCAAUAGGUUAGAACGUGAUUACAUUCGUUAAGGAUGUUGACGUA